GAAUUGCAUUCGGAAACAUGUAUUGCGCUCGCACAAAGAUUGCAGCAUUUUACUUGCUGCAUGUCUGUCUGCCAGUAUGCCUGCAUCAAAUUGAAGUCAUUUAUACUCUCCAGUAAGCUGGCGAGUGCUCCUCCCAUGAUGUGGCUCCACCACCUGCUGCCGCCGCUGCUGCUCCUGCUGCACCCAGGUACCGAGGCCGAAGAGGUGAUCCGGCUGUCCUUACGGAUGAGGUCCUGAGGAAUCAAGAAAGUCUACUUACAGCAGUCAACCAAAUCAACACGUCCCUCCAAGAAAUUAACACCAGCUUGAAGGAAAUCUGCAAGGCACUUUUGCGUCCUCAACAAUAAAGUGUUAUGUUGUCA